AUUGAACGCUGGCGGCGUGCCUAACACAUGCAAGUCGAGCGGUAACAGGUGUAGCAAUACAUGCUGACGAGCGGCGAACGGGUGAGUAAUGCUUCGGAAUCUGCCCAUGUAGUGGGGAAUAACCAGCCGAAAGGUUGGCUAAUACCGCAUACGACCUACGGGUGAAAGCAGGGGAUCGCAAGACCUUGCGCUAUUGGAUGAGCCGAAGUCGGAUUAGCAGUUGGUAGGGUAACGGCCUACCAAGGCGACGAUCCGUAGCUGGUCUGAGAGGACGACCAGCCACACUGGGACUGAGACACGGCCCAGACUCCUACGGGAGGCAGCAGUGGGGAAUAUUGGACAAUGGGGGCAACCCUGAUCCAGCGACGCCGCGUGUGUGAAGAAGGCCUGCGGGUUGUAAAGCACUUUUAGU
rnacentral:rRNA from 1 species